rnacentral:piRNA from 1 species
UAUAAACUAAGAAGACAAGUGCAGAGUGA